GGCCCGGCAGUCGCGCUUGAAACUUCGACGUUUUUCUUGUUCAAUAUUCUCCAUCCUUGUGAGAUCGAAUAAAGUAUUUGCCCGACCAGACUGCUCGCGACAAACGCAGGCAGACUCCGUACUAUACAAACAUUUUUAGUGAGCAAAUGAAAGAAGCUGGAAUUACACAGCCCGCGUGACGAUAUGGCGAUGUAGCCCCGGGGGCAAAUUCUGCACAUCUUCACAUUAUUGAUGGACGACCCGGCAUGGGAAAAGUUGGACUGGAAAACAUACGGACGAGGAGCGGCCUUCGGGAUGAGCAAAAAAUCGAAACGGAAAACAAGGCGGAAACCUGACUAACCAUCAAAAGCCUGAUGAACGGGAGUAAUUGGUGGUUAACACUGCCGAUAGUUCGACCAUACAAGACAAUCUGCGAUUUAAGAUAUUUACCGACGACAAGGAAACACGGACUUUGGGGAUGAAAACGAAGGCAGAUUUGUCGAGGGUGAGAGGUCGGGGAGAGGAUUUGGAUUCUUGGUUUGGUGAAUGAAAAAAGGAACUUUUAAUUUGAAUUCUAUAGAAACAAGUCAUCAUAGACAGAAUGGGGGAUGGGGGUGGGGGUGGUUAAGGGGGGCAUGGGUUUACAAACGUUGUUAUGAGGACUUGAAUGGUAUAAAAUCUGCAUUCUCGAAUUUAAUCAAAUAUCCUGAAAGAACAGGGACAAGUUAUUUGUUUUCCGCCAACAUGAUAUAAGUGGUCGAAUUUUUCUUGUGGGUGGUAAAUAAAUCGUAAAGUUGCAAGACAAUACGUUUGGUUACACUGCGCUUUCAACAAAUUCCCACACAAUAAUAAAAUGUUGUUCUGGAUAUGUAAUUUGUAUUCCAAUCUGCUGACACUGACGACUGAUAUCCUGUAACGCUAUAUUGAAUAAAUCGACCCUUCAUUAAAUAAA